GAUCCUGGCUCAGAUUGAACGCUGGCGGCAGGCCUAAUACAUGCAAGUCGAACGGUAACAUAAGAAAGCUUGCUUUCUUGAUGACGAGUGGCGGACGGGUGAGUAAUAUUUGGGAAGCUACCUGAUAGAGGGGGACAACAGUUGGAAACGACUGCUAAUACCGCAUAAGAUUGUAAUGCCGCAUGGUAUAGCAAUUAAAGGAGCAAUCCGCUAUGAGAUGGACCCGCGUCGCAUUAGCUAGUUGGUGAGGUAACGGCUCACCAAGGCGACGAUGCGUAGCCGACCUGAGAGGGUGAUCGGCCACAUUGGGACUGAGACACGGCCCAGACUCCUACGGGAGGCAGCAGUGGGGAAUAUUGCACAAUGGGGGAAACCCUGAUGCAGCAACGCCGCGUGAGUGAUGACGGUCUUCGGAUUGUAAAGCUCUGUCUUUAGGGACGAUAAUGACGGUACCUAAGGAGGAAGCCACGGCUAACUACGUG
rnacentral:rRNA from 1 species